rnacentral:rRNA from 1 species
CUAAGUUUGAUGGCGACCGGCGCACGGGUGAGUAACACGUAUCCAACCUGCCGAUGACUCGGGGAUAGCCUUUCGAAAGAAAGAUUAAUACCCGAUGGCAUAGUUCUUCCGCAUGGUAGAACUAUUAAAGAAUUUCGGUCAUCGAUGGGGAUGCGUUCCAUUAGGUUGUUGGCGGGGUAACGGCCCACCAAGCCUUCGAUGGAUAGGGGUUCUGAGAGGAAGGUCCCCCACAUUGGAACUGAGACACGGUCCAAACUCCUACGGGAGGCAGCCAUG